ACUCCUGGCAGAUUAAUAGAACUAUCACUCUCGGUUGUAGACA
rnacentral:misc_RNA from 1 species